AUGUUAUUGUUCAAGGCAGAAGCCCUCUGCAACCUCCCCAGAACAAACGAAAACCAAGCACAGAGAGGGAGGAAGAUGACCGCCAGCCCCUCAGUAACUCCCAUCUGCAGGCAGGUUGGGCUGGCACACCCCGUCGUCUGGGAAAACACCAGAGCCCACAGGCAGCACCGGAUGCUCGCGACCGUGCCCAAGCCCCGAGCCGUCGGCGCUGCAGGCCACAGACGGGGCCGUCGCGAGCACCCGCCGACCCAGCGCCGGGUCCCGCGCCUCCUCUUCCUCGCGGACCCCCGACGCCCACCAACCAGCCCACGGCGAGCUCCCGGGGCGCUCCCACGGAGCAGUCCGAGUGGCCAAGGAUGUGCAGAGCGCCGUCCCCUCCGCACCCGGUCACCGCUGACGACCGCACCGCGGGGACCCCUCCCAGCGCGCCCCGGCGCCCGACUGGAGACCCGCCAGCGCCCCGCCCGGCGCAGCCCCCCACACUCCGCGGAGGCCCCCGCGGGCCGCCCGCCUCCACCCGGCCUCCCGCGCCUCAGGCCCCGCGGCCCGGCCUGCAGCUCCCGGGCCGCUCCGCCGCGCUCUGGGCCCCGCCGCCGCCCCUGCGAGCGGGCCUCACCUCAGGGGCGAAUCGCAGGCAGUGCACCGGCUCCCAGGUCCGAGUGCGGCCGCCGCUCGUCGGCUCCGGCUCGGGCUGGGGCUCGGGCUGGGGCUCGGGCUCCGCCCCCUAUCCGCCGCGCUCACCCCAGCCCGCAGCUCCGGCCGGCCCGGCCUCUCCGCCCCCUCAGCCCCUGGCGCUGCCCCCGCCGCCGGAGCUGGGUGCGGCCUGCGGCACCGCAGACCAACAACGCGCUACCCCAUAGGCCCAUUCCGCGCCGCACCGCCCAGCAAAUCUUCCUGCGAUUGGCUGACCGUGAGGCGGGCCUUGCGGAGGGGGCGGGGUUCGCGCUGGAGGGGGAGGGUAAGGGCGGAGGCCCCGCCUGCGGCCGCCGCGGAUCCCAGAGGCCCCACCGGCUGCGGCCCAGACCGCCCCCUACGCGCAGGGGAGGCUCCCAGCUACCUGCGGGCUGGGCAGGUGCGUGGGCACCGUGGGUCGCGGCCUCACAGGCCUCGUCACGGACGCAGGUGGGCCGGCUCUGCCAGCGGCGCCUGCUCUCCCGGACCCGCUUGUGCACUCGCGCGUUGUCGCGGGCCAGACCCUGGUGA
rnacentral:lncRNA from 1 species